UACGUAGGGUGCAAGCGUUGUCCGGAAUUAUUGGGCGUAAAGAGCUUGUAGGCGGUUUGUCGCGUCUGCUGUGAAAUUUCGGGGCUCAACCCCGAACUUGCAGUGGGUACGGGCAGACUAGAGUGUGGUAGGGGAGACUGGAAUUCCUGGUGUAGCGGUGAAAUGCGCAGAUAUCAGGAGGAACACCGGUGGCGAAGGCGGGUCUCUGGGUCGAUACUGACGCUGAGGAGCGAAAGCGUGGGGAGCGAACAGG
rnacentral:rRNA from 1 species